AUUGAACGCUGGCGGCAGGCCUAACACAUGCAAGUCGAGCGGGGCGGCGGACGGGUGAGUAAGGCCUAUGUAUCUGCCUGGUCGUGGGGGAUAACGUCCGGAAACGGGCGCUAAUACCGCAUACUAUCAGAUUAGCCUAGGUCGGAUUGGCUAGGUGGUGGGGUAAAGGCCUACCAAGGCGACGAUCCGUAACUGGUCUGAGAGGAUGAUCAGUCACACUGGAACUGAGACACGGUCCAGACUCCUACGGGAGGCAGAAGUGGGGAAUAUUGGACAAUGGGCGAAAGCCGGAUCCAGCCAUGCCGCGUGUGUGAAGAAGGUCUUCGGAUUGUAAAGCACUUUAAGUUGGGAGGCGUUACCAACAGAAUAAGCACCGGCUAACUUCGUGCCAGCCGCCGCGGUAAUAC
rnacentral:rRNA from 1 species